CGACAAAACAAGCCGGGUCAGCGACUA
rnacentral:sRNA from 1 species